rnacentral:sRNA from 1 species
AGUUCGCGUGAGGGAUUAAAGUGGAGCUCUUUUUUCUUUAUCAAUUGCCUCGGGUUUAAACCCGAGGCAAUUGAUAAAGAAAAAAAGCGGGAACGGAAAGCCCGACCUGUA